rnacentral:rRNA from 1 species
GAUGAACGCUGGCGGCGUGCCUAAUACAUGCAAGUCGAGCGAACAGACGAGGAGCUUGCUCCUCUGAUGUUAGCGGCGGACGGGUGAGUAACACGUGGAUAACCUACCUAUAAGACUGGGAUAACUUCGGGAAACCGGAGCUAAUACCGGAUAACAUGUUGAACCGCAUGGUUCAACAGUGAAAGACGGUCUUGCUGUCACUUAUAGAUGGAUCCGCGCCGCAUUAGCUAGUUGGUAAGGUAACGGCUUACCAAGGCAACGAUGCGUAGCCGACCUGAGAGGGUGAUCGGCCACACUGGAACUGAGACACGGUCCAGACUCCUACGGGAGGCAGCAGUAGGGAAUCUUCCGCAAUGGGCGAAAGCCUGACGGAGCAACGCCGCGUGAGUGAAGAAGGUUUUCGGAUCGUAAAACUCUGUUAUUAGGGAAGAACAAAUGUGUAAGUAACUAUGCACGUCUUGACGGUACCUAAUCAGAAAGCCACGGCUAACUACGUG